GGGAAUCGUAGGCGGAGCACCAUCAUAGGCGGAGGAGCAUAUUAAUGAGCGGAGGACCAUAUCUCUGGAGGAGGAAGUCUCAACCCCCGAAGGAGCGCCCGCCGGAGGACCAACCCAAAACUCUUGUUGUAUACCCCCUCGCGGGUUGUUUUUACUAUCUGAGCCUUUCUCGGCGCCCCUCGCGGGCGUUUCGAAAAUGAAUCAAAACUUUCAACAACGGAUCUCUUGGUUCUGGCAUCGAUGAAGAACGCAGCGAAAUGCGAUAAGUAAUGUGAAUUGCAGAAUUCAGUGAAUCAUCGAAUCUUUGAACGCACAUUGCGCCCGCCAGUAUUCUGGCGGGCAUGCCUGUCCGAGCGUCAUUUCAACCCUCGAACCCCUCCGGGGGGUCGGCGUUGGGGAUCGGCCCUCCCUCGCGGGGGCCGUCUCCGAAAUCCAGUGGCGGUCUCGCCGCAGCCUCUCCUGCGCAGUAGUUUGCACACUCGCACCGGGAGCGCGGCGCGUCCACAGCCGUUAAACACCCAACUUUCUGAAAUGUUGACCUCGGAUCAGGUAGGAAUACCCGCUGAACUUAAGCAUAUCAAUAAGCGGAGGAAA
rnacentral:rRNA from 1 species